UUAAAAAGCAUCGAAUUAAUG
rnacentral:miRNA from 1 species